CCCUCUCUGCCUGGAGACUCUCCAUUUUCCUCCUUCAAGGGAAAGAAUCGGAUUUGCAUCAUCUAAAAAUUCAGCUACUUCAGAACCUGAAAUCAAGUGAAAGGAGCCUCCCGUGGAGUAUCUGAGAAGUCUCAGGGCUGCAAGUUCAUUUGCUGCAGACAUUUGCAGACCCUCCCCCGCAUGGCCUUCAGGGCUGGAAGCAGACUGAUGAAGGGCUUCUCCCAGAGUUCCAAGCAUUUGCCUUAUCGCGGAGACCUCCCAACAGCGC